UCAAUUCAAUGUGUUUUAUUUUGUAGAUGAAAUACGUUCUUCUGUUGCUCGUGCUGGUGGCCAUUACCGUCGACUAUCAGGCAGACGGGUGGCGAGGGAUGAGGUUCUAGCGGAGAGCAAAGAGAAUUUAUCGACACUAUCGUACAUAUAAGUAUAUAGCGGCGGUCGUGGGCCGCAAGCGAGAUCUCUUCGAGUUUGACAAAAACGAGGACGGAUUUCUGGACCAAUCAGAGCUGGAAGAUGUCCUGAACACGCGGGAAAGAACUCCAAGGUAUCGAUGGAGGAGUUUCAAAAUAUGUUAAAAGAGAUGAGUAAACUGGAAUAAAGAGAGAGCAAGACGAGCUGGUUCCAGUGGCGUGUUAAAGAUGGAUCAUCUCUUUAGACAGAAAUAAAAUGUAAUCGGCACGUGAUCAUCAAAUCUAAGAGAUGUACCCUCCGGAUGUCGAUAUCUGUCCGCGUUUGACACCAACAAGGACGGACAUUUGGACGAGUCUCAACUGGAAGACUUCUUAGACACGCGGAUGUACGGGAAAUCUUGGACAGAGCUGAUGACGAUGGAAACAACAAGAUCUCCAUGCAAGAGUUUCAGCAAUUCAUCAAUGAGAUAAACAAGAUGGAAUAAACAAAAAACAAGUCCAGCUCUUACUCUCUGAAUAUCGAGAACUGACUUCUUAUGAGAUGCCAUCUGUCUAGACAAUAAUAAAAUUUGCA